UACGGAGGGUGCAAGCGUUAUCCGGAUUCACUGGGUUUAAAGGGUGCGUAGGAGGGCAGGUAAGUCAGUGGUGAAAUCUCCGAGCUUAACUCGGAAACUGCCAUUGAUACUAUCUGUCUUGAAUCCCGUGGAGAUGAGCGGAAUAUGUCAUGUAGCGGUGAAAUGCUUAGAUAUGACAUAGAACACCAAUUGCGAAGGCAGCUCGUUACACGAAGAUUGACUCUGAGGCACGAAAGCGUGGGGAUCAAACAGG
rnacentral:rRNA from 1 species